CAGGAGUGGCUUCAAAACUACGGGCUUCAGGGUUGUAAUGUAAACCUCCAUUCUCUUGCAACAGAAGUAACAAACAGAAGUGCUAACCUUGGGAAAAGUGCCCAAGUUUCUGAAGCUACACGUUCAGGAACUGAUGAUAAACAGGAUGAGUUAAAUCAACAAUGCCAGAAAGAAAAGGAUCAACCACCAGUAGCCGAGCAAGUCCAGAUAGUUCGUGAAUUAAUCUACCAAAGGA